rnacentral:rRNA from 1 species
GCUCAGAACAGAACGCUGGCGGCGUGCUCUAACACAUGCAAGUCAAGGGGGCGGAGCAAUCCGCAACCGGCGAACGGGUGCGUAACACGUGAGCAAUCUACCGAUUUGAGGGGGAUAGCCGGCCCAACGGCUGGGUAAUACCGCAUACGCUUGGCGUGGGGAGUCCCGGGCCAAGGAAACCUUCGGGGCAAAUCGAGGAGCUCGCGGCCUAUCAGCUAGUUGGCGGUGUCACGGACCACCAAGGCUCUGACGGGUAGCUGGUCUGAGAGGAUGGCCAGCCACAUUGGGACUGAGAGACGGCCCAGACUCCUACGGGAGGCAGCAGUGGG